CCCCCCUCCCGCCCCACAGGUGUGCCCAUUGAUCCACCUCUUGGUCUCCACCGUGGAUGAACAUAUUUUACAUGACAUCAUUGAUAAACUUCCAAAGGACAGCAAACCGCAAGCUGCUGCCUGAAGAGGGGCAUGAGGAGGGUUGCUGUGAUGCCCAACCAAAGCUCAGUUCCCAGUGGCUUGACUGUGCCCCACGUAGCAUCUCCAGCUGGUAAGGUACAGCCACCAUCCAACCAGAGUGACAGCCUAAGUUCAGCCGGAAGGAGCCCUAACAGAUCCUUCUCCUCAUGGUUGGGACAGCAGCCUCUGUGCUCACCGCCCUCCGCCCCCUGCAAUAAAAAAACAAUUUCUGCA